rnacentral:rRNA from 1 species
GUUUGAUUAUGGCUCAGAUUGAACGCUGGCGGGAUGCUUUACACAUGCAAGUCGAACGGCAGCACGGACUUCGGUCUGGUGGCGAGUGGCGAGCGGGUGAGUAAUGUAUCGGAACGUGCCUAGUAGCGGGGGAUAACUACGCGGCGUAGCUAAUACCGCAUACGCCCUUCGAAGCGGGGACAUGGGCCUCGCACUAUUAGAAACGGCCGAUAUCGGAUUAGCUAGUUGGUGGGUAACGGCUCACCAGGCGACGAUCCGUAGCUGGUUUGAGAGGACGACCAGCCACACUGGGACGGACACGGCGGCCCAGACUCCUACGGGAGGCAGCAGUGGGGAAUUUUGGACAAUGGGGGAAACCUGAUCCAGCCAUCCCGCGUGUGCGAUGAAGGCCUUCCGGGUUGUAAAGCGCUUUUGGCAGGAAAGAAACGGCACGGGAUAAUACCCCGUGCAACUGACGGUACCUGCAGAAUAAGCACCGGCUAACUACGUGCCAGCAGCCGCGGUAAUACGUAGGGUGCAAGCGUUAAUCAGGUUACUGGGCGUAAAGCGUGCGCAGGCGGUUCGGAAAGAAGAAAGAUGUGAAUCCCAGGCUUAACUUUGGAACUGCAUUUUUAACUACCGAGCUAGAGUGUGUCAGAGGAGGUGGAAUUCCGCGUGUAGCAGUGAAAUGCGUAGAUAUGCGGAGGAACACCGAUGGCGAAGGCAGCCUCCUGGGAUAACACUGACGCUCAUGCACAGCGUGGGAGCAAACAGGAUUAGAUACCCUGGUAGUCCACGCCCUAAACGAUGUCAACUAGCUGUUGGGGCCUUCGGGCCUUGGUAGCGCAGCUAACGCGUGAAGUUGACCGCCUGGGGAGUACGGUCGCAAGAUUAAAACUCAAAGGAAUUGACGGGGACCCGCACAAGCGGUGGAUGAUGUGGAUUAAUUCGAUGCAACGCGAAAAACCUUACCUACCCUUGACAUGUCUGGAAUCCCGAAGAGAUUUGGGAGUGCUCGCAAGAGAACCGGAACACAGGUGCUGCAUGGCUGUCGUCAGCUCGUGUCGUGAGAUGUUGGGUUAAGUCCCGCAACGAGCGCAACCCUUGUCAUUAGUUGCUACGAAAGGGCACUCUAAUGAGACUGCCGGUGACAAACCGGAGGAAGGUGGGGAUGACGUCAAGUCCUCAUGGCCCUUAUGGGUAGGGCUUCACACACGUCAUACAAUGGUCGGGACAGAGGGUCGCCAACCCGCGAGGGGGAGCCAAUCCCAGAAACCCGAUCGUAGUCCGGAUCGCGCAGUCUGCAACUCGACUGCGCCGUGAAGUCAGAAUCGCCAAUCGCGGAUCAGCAUGUCGCGGUGAAUACGUUCCCGGGUCUUGUACACACCGCCCGUCACACCAUGGGAGUGGGUUUUACCAGAAGUAGUUAGCCUAACCGUAAGGAGGGCGAUUACCACGGUAGGAUUCAUGACUGGGGUAGAGUCGUAACAAGGUAG